CCUACGGGUGGCAGCAGUGAGGAAUAUUGGUCAAUGGUCGCGAGCCUGAACCAGCCAAGCAGCGUGAAGGAGGAAUGUACAACGUAUCGUAAACCUCUUUUAUAAGGGAAUAAAGUGAGGCACGCGUGCCUUUAUGUGUGUACUUUAUGAAUAAGGAUCGGCUAACUCCGUGCCAGCAGCCGCGGUAAUACGGAGGAUGCGAGCGUUAUCCGGAUUUAUUGGGUUUAAAGGGUGCGGAGAUGGGUUGUUAAGUCAGUUGGGAAAGUUUGGGGCUCAACCGUCAUAUUGCAAUUAAUACUGGCAGCCUUGAGUGCAGUAGAGGUAGGCGGAAUUCGUGGUGUAGCGGUGAAAUGCUUAGAUAUCACGAAGAACCCCGAUUGCGAAGGCAGCCUACUAAACUGCCACUGACAUUGAUGCUCGAAAGUGUGGGGAUCAAACAGGAUUAGAUACCCUUGUAGUC
rnacentral:rRNA from 1 species